CUGAUUGUCAGCACCUGUGUGCUGCUGCUCCUCAGACCAAGCGUGCAACCAGCCAAAGGAGGUUGCUGGUUUUCUCCUUGCCUGGAGAGACUACGGGGGAUCUUUGGCCAUUGCUUCUGGGAGGAUGGCAGCGUAGAGGCUUUGUUGUGGCAAUCGCUGUUCCUCUUGUGUUCUUUUGUCUUUUCUUUUGGUUAUAUGUGAUUGUGUAUACAUAUGCUUGAGUUUUUCUUUCUGCUAGCCAGCAGUGGUGGUAAUUGCUGAUAGAUGGAUCAGCUUGUGUGAGUUACAUGAACUACUACUUUGUUUGUAACCCCCCCUGCUCUGUCUCAAAGUGGAUGAUUAGAAGCUGUGGUUGAUUUAGCUAACUGUGGGGAAGGCUUACUAAAUGUUGCAUGUGCUCUCAAACGGUUCCCCAUGAAAUACAUGUGAAAUAAAUUAUAUUUAUGUUAUC